CGCCCGCAGAGCUACAGGGGCACGUGGUUGCGCUCCUCCGGCGAGCGCGGCGUGUACUCGCUCGGGCUCUGCCCCGCGAACGAGCGG
rnacentral:tRNA from 1 species